CCAGGUGAUACUCACGGUCCGGCAGCUUGCCCAUGGGGUCGUGGGUCGCGAAGUAGUGCGCCGGGAAGUAGGUCGGCGCCGCCGACGUGCUGAUGCAGAUGUCCGAGAGGUGCGCGUUCUUGAGCGGGUCCACCUUGGCCUCGUACGUGUUGAAGAUGACCGGCUGCAGGUACUUGAUGUCGAACGUCGGGACUAUGAUGUUGGUGACGGUGUCGGCGACCGUCACGUCGUUGGUGAGGCUCUUGAUCUUGUCGUGCAGGAACUUACCGUCGUACUUGGGACCCUUCACCGCGCCGAACAGGUUCGCUAUCGGGGUCAGGAACCCCAACCUGUGUACGUACGUGAAGCAACGCUGGCGUCAACACGACGGUAUUGCCGGAAGGAGAGAAGAGAAGGGACACCGUGCGUGCGUGCGUGCGUGCGUGCGUACGUACCUCCUCUGCGGGAAGAUCUUGGGCCCGUUCUCAAGGUAGAAGUUGUUGAUGUCCUUGGCCUCGAAGAGUGGCCGCUUGUUCUCGCCCGGCGCCGCCAGCAUCGACGUGACCAGCGCGCCCGUGCUCGUCCCGGCGAUCACGUCGAAGUAGUCCGCGAUGCGCG
rnacentral:lncRNA from 1 species